GUGUCAGCCGCCGCGGUAAUACAGAGGGGGCAAGCGUUGUCCGGAAUUACUGGGCGUAAAGCGUACGCAGGUGGCCGUGCAAGUGUGAUGUGAAAGCCCCGCGCUUAACGCGGGGAGGCCAUUACAGACUGCAUAGCUCGAGGGAUGCAGAGGGUCGUGGAAUUGCCGGUGUAGUGGUGAAAUGCGUAGAGAUCGGCAGGAACACCAAGGACGAAGGUAGCGACCUGGGCAUCUCCUGACACUCAUGUACGACAGCGUGGGGAGCGAACCGGAUUAGAAACCCGUGUAGUCC
rnacentral:rRNA from 1 species